AUUGAACGCUGGCGGCAGGCCUAACACAUGCAAGUCGAGCGGAUGAAGGGAGCUUGCUCCUGGAUUCAGCGGCUGACGGGUGAGUAAUGCCUAGGAAUCUGCCUGGUAGUGGGGGAUAACGUCCGGAAACGGGCGCUUAUACCGCAUACGUCCUGAGGGAGCAAGUGGGGGAUCUUCGUACCUCACGCUAUCAGAUGAGCCUAGGUCUGAUUAGCUAGUUGGUGGGGUAAAGGCCUACCAAGGCGACGAUCCGUAACUGGUCUGAUAGGAUGAUCAGUCAAACUGGAACUGAGAAACGGUCCAGACUCCUACGGGAGGAAGCGGUGGGGAAUAUUGGACAAUGAGCGAAAGCCUGAUCCAGAAAUGCCGCGGGUGUGAAGAAGGUCUUCGGAUUUUAAAGCACUUUAAGUUGGGAGGAAGGGUAGUAAGUUAAUACCUUGCUGUUUUGACGUUACCAACAGAAUAAGCACCGGCUAACUUCGUG
rnacentral:rRNA from 1 species